UAACCUAUUUGCCGAGUCUCAAAUGGCCACAUAGGUAAUUCAAUCUAAUUUUCCCGAGCUCGCCCUCCUCGUCUUGUCGUCCGCGUGUGCUCAUCAUCGUCCUUCAAAUCCGAUUACGUGGUGUGGCAACAACGAGACGAAGCAUA
ensembl:ncRNA F10G8.10 ncRNA